GAGUGUGUGUGAUGGUGCGGACGAUCACACAGGAGAAGAGGAGAAAGGGGCACAAACCCUAAUUCAAGAUAAACCUUAAAAUUGAAAGGGGAAUCUGGCUCUAAUCGGAUGCAUGGACCUAGAUUCUUAAUCAUCUAGACUUUCUACACAUGAGCUCGACUCUUGACAAGCUAUAUGGGAUCUUGGAGAAGAAUGGGUUAAACGGGUCAAGUACGCAAAGAAGCUCUAAUGGACACAAAGAACGAAUAGCAAUUUGGAUAAUUGCGUCGCCAUAAAGUUUCGGCUAAUAAAGCGAGGUAUAAAAACGGGUCUAUGCGUUGACUCGAGACAGGUACGCGACGAAAUGUUUUGUUGUUGUUAAUUGUUAAUACGUAAAUCUUAUAUAUUGAUGAUAUAUGAAAGUUCGAGAUGUAAAAAUGUUUGAUUUGUCUAUAAUAAGGAUUUAUGAUAGACAAAUCAACGGGUUGAGCAAUAAUAGGUGCAAACCGGGUAAAUGGGUGCACAAUUCCAUAAGUGCUAAGCCCGGGGUUACGGGUAAAGAAACAUUAAACACACAAGCCGGUAGUCGAAGCGAGAAUGCGAGUAGAUUAAAGGAUUUGGGGACGGGUUGACAAAUUGAGUAUUAAGUCCCAUGCAUAGGAAUGUGAUUGAAAUAUGAUUUAUUGCUUAUUAGCGAACUAACCUCGUGUAUGUGUUUAUACAGUUUAAAUCAGUUGAAGUAAUAAGUUACUAAACCAUUGUCUUGAGUAUGAAAUGAGAAUGCAGGUAUUCUUUUAACGUCGUUAUCAGGGUUAAAGAAUUUGGAAUGCACGAAUGUACACGGAAAGCUUAUUCGUGGGGAUUAGUAUGGGAAGAAGGAAUGCGGACUGGCUAUUGAUUACGUAGUUCUAGUUUAGGAAUGAUGUCAUUGUAUCUAACCGAUGUAUAUGUAUGUGGUGAAUGCAGGUGGCAUGGACUUAGCAUCAUUACGAAGAAAAGAAGGUUUGAAGAUCGAGUCAAGAGCGAGGAUUGUACGGGAAGGAUUAGUCACAUAAUUUGACAAAAAAAAAAUAUAUAGGUCAUGAAGUAUUAAUAUAAUGGGACGUGGUAAAUUCCUUUUUAAUGAGUGUAUGAAUUUUUGUCUUGGAACCUUCCUGUAAGUAUUAUGUCUAGUAAAGAACGAAAUUUUUGGGCUCUUAUUUUCCGCUGUGUCGUAUUUUAAGUUAUUACGCGUUAGUCUUACAGGGAAUUGUUCUUAUUACGAACGGGUCAUGCCCGAAUUUUUUUAAAUAAUAGUAUGAUAAUAGUCAUUUCGAAAUAUGAAAUUUGGGCGUUACAAGUUGGUAUCAGAGCCCUGGUUUGAGGGAAAUCAAGUAGAAGGAGGUGAAUACUUGAACUCAAACCUGUGUGCUCUUGUGACAAGUAACCCGUACAAUCCAAGACUCGAUCAAGGCCUAAAGUUAAAAGCGAAUGUAAGUAUGUAUUAAAUUAUGUAUUUGAAGGAAACUAAUAGUAUAAUAUGUGAAGGGUAAGCGCAAUUGCUUCGAAGGGAUGAUCUGUGAAUGUGGUCUAGGACCGGCACCAAGGCAUGUAAUAAGACAUAUUGACCCAGCUCGACUCUUGACAAGCUAUAUGGGAUCUUGGAGAAGAAUGGGUUAAACGGGUCAAGUACGCAAAGAAGCUCUAAUGGACACAAAGUAAGUAAGCUUACAUCUUUUGUAGAAUAUGAAUUUGUUUUUAUGAACUAUAAAUAUGAUGAAAUCGAAAUGUGGUUUCCGACGCGAUAUGGUACAUGUCGGAAUAGAUAUAAUCGAUAAAAACCAUGGUUAAUAGUAAAAAAGGGCAAAUUGGUAAUUUAGUCAUGAAUGACUAAGAUUUAAUGAGUUUUCGUUAAGGUUAGCUUAUAGUGUAACUAAUAAAAGAAAUAGCGGGGUAAAAUCCGAAAUGGGUCGUAUGCGUGAAUUUGAAAUUAAAAUAUCAAGUUUUGUAAACAUCAAUAUUUGGUCAGUCAGACCACACGGGCCAAAUGGUAGUAAUAAUACCAUUUGACAAAUUCGACUAAUGUUUGGUUGGCAAGUCACUUGUUCAUAGGAACGAAUAGCAAUUUGGAUAAUUGCGUCGCCAUAAAGUUUCGGCUAAUAAAGCGAGGUAUAAAAACGGGUCUAUGCGUUGACUCGAGCUAGGUACGCGACGAAACGUUUUGUUGUUGUUAAUUGUUAAUACGUAAAUCUUAUAUAUUGAUGAUAUAUGAAAGUUCGAGAUGUAAAAAUGUUUUAUUUGUCUAUAAUAAGGAUUUAUGAUAGACAAAUCAAUGGGUUGAGCAAUAAUAGGUGCAAACCGGGUAAAUGGGUGCACAAUUCCAUAAGUGCUAAGCCCGGGGUUACGGGUAAAGAAACAUUAAACACACAAGCCGGUAGUCGAAGCGAGAAUGCGAGUAGAUUAAAGGAUUUGGGGACGGGUUGACAAAUUGAGUAUUAAGUCCCAUGCAUAGGAAUGUGAUUGAAAUAGGAUUUAUUGCUUAUUAGCGAACUAACCUCGUGUAUGUGUUUAUACAGUUUAAAUCAGUUGAAGUAAUAAUUUACUAAACCAUUGUCUUGAGUAUGAAAUGAGAAUGCAGGUAUUCUUUUAACGUCGUUAUCAGGGUUAAAGAAUUUGGAAUGCACGAAUGUACACGGAAAGCUUAUUCGUGGGGAUUAGUAUGGGAAGAAGGAAUGCGGACUGUCUAUUGAUUACGUAGUUCUAG